AACGAACGCUGGCGGCAUGCCUAACACAUGCAAGUCGAACGAGACCUUCGGGUCUAGUGGCGCACGGGUGCGUAACGCGUGGGAACCUGCCCUUAGGUUCGGAAUAACUCCCCGAAAGGGGUGCUAAUACCGGAUAAUGUCUUCGGACCAAAGAUUUAUCGCCUUUGGAUGGGCCCGCGUUGGAUUAGCUAGUUGGUAGGGUAAAAGCCUACCAAGGCGACGAUCCAUAGCUGGUCUGAGAGGAUGAUCAGCCACACUGGGACUGAGACACGGCCCAGACUCCUACGGGAGGCAGGAGUGGGGAAUAUUGGACAAUGGGCGAAAGGCUGAUCCAGCAAUGACGGGUGAGUGAUGAAGGCCUUAGGGUUGUAAAGCUCUUUUACCCGGGAUGAUAAUGACAGUACCGGGAGAAAAAGCUCCGGCUAACUCCGUG
rnacentral:rRNA from 1 species